GGAAUGUUAAGCAUAAUGGUACUGCAUCGGCUUGCUAAGCCGUUACUCACUCUGUGAGUUGCUGGUUCAAGUCCAGCACAUUCCG
rnacentral:tRNA from 1 species